rnacentral:misc_RNA from 1 species
AAGUCGUAACAAGGUUUCCGUAGGUGAACCUGCGGCAACAAGCAGAGGAAUGCCAGGCCACUUGCCUCACGCUCAAGCACAGUCUACGCAGAAGUCCCUGAAUCAAAACUGUUCGGCAAUGAUUUACCAGGGAUUGCUACCUUUUCUAAGAAAGUGCGAGCGCACUGAAGGUUCACGGGGGGGUUUAACGUUGGAUACGUGUUAAUGAUCCUUGGUGUCUGAAAGUGUCACCAGCUCUGUACGAAUGGCGCAGUCACGAUCGCUAGAGGCCGACACGGCCGGCGACCGGGUCACUGGGCGCGAGCCCCCCUCGUCACCUUUGCAUGAAAACGGGCCUGCGCUUAAUUGUGCGGCCACCAAACUCGAACAACUGUUAACAAUGGAUAUCUUGGUUCUC